GCAAGUCGAACGGUAACAUGGAAAAGCUUGCUUUUUUGAUGACGAGUGGCGCACGGGUGCGUAACGCGUAUACAAUCUACCUUUUACAGGGGGAUAGCCUUUAGAAAUGAAGAAUAAUACCCCAUGGCAAGUGAUUUUCGCAUGGAAGACACUUUAAAGUUUCGGCGGUAAAAGAUGAGUAUGCGUUCUAUUAGCUAGAUGGUGUGGUAACGGCACACCAUGGCAACGAUAGAUAGGGGCCCUGAGAGGGGGAUC
rnacentral:rRNA from 1 species